AGAUUAAGCCAUGCAAGUGUAAGUUCAGGUAACUAAACUGCGAACAGCUCAUUAACACACUUAUUAUCUACUUGGAAAAGAUUUUUUAAAGAAAUCAUAAAUGGAUAGCAGAAGUAAUUCUUGUGCUAAUACAUGUUUUUAAAAUUUCAUUGGAAAUUAAAUACAAUGACAAAUUUUACCUUUUUAUUAAGGAAAUCCAAUCGAAUGAGUGACCUAUCAGGCCAGUACUAGGAUCUUUUCCUAAUUAAGCUAUUACGGGUAACGGGCGGUUACCGUCGUACUGCCGGAGAAGGCGCCUGAGAGAUAGCGACUAUAUCCACGGGUAGCAGCAGGCGCGAAACUUACCCACUCGAAAUUCUCGGAGGUGGUAAUGACCAGUUAUAAUUUUUAUUUUUAAUAAUAAAAUUAUAUAGGAAUAUAAUUUUCCAUUAUAUUGGAACCUAGCAGAGGGCCAGUCUGGUGCCAGCAGCUGCGGUAAUUCCAGCUCUGCAAGUUUGCUCCCAUAUUGUUGCAGUUAAAACGCUCGUAGUCUGAAUUAAUAUUAAGUAACUUUAAAAGGUUACGUUCACUGUGUACAAAUCAGGACGCUUAAAGUAAGGAUAAAUAUACUUGAAUGAUUUUGCGCAGUAUGAAAUUUUUAUUUAACUUUCAGUAAAGUUAAAUAAGAUCAACGAGAUUCAUCGGGGAUAGAUCUAUUUCAUGGCGAACGGCGAAAUGUUUUGACCCAUGAGAGAGAAACUAAGGCGAAAGCAUCUAUCAAGUGGAGUUCUAUCGAUCAAGGGCGAGAGUAGGAGUAUCCAACCGGAUCAGAGACCCGGGUAGUUCCUACCUUAAACUAUGCCGACGAGGGCUUAUUUUUUAUUUUAGAAGUAGGACCAUUAGAGAAAUCAAUAGUUCAUGGGCUCUGGGGGAACUACGACCGCAAGGCUGAAACUUGAAGGAAUUGACGGAAGGGCACACCAGGGGUGGAGCUUGUGGCUUAAUUUGAAUCAACACGGGGAAACUUACCAGAACCAGAUAUUUUUAAUGACUGAUCAGGAUGAAGUUCUUUCAGGAUAUAAUUUUUGGUGGUGCAUGGCCGUUGGUGGUGCGUGGGUUGACCUGUCUAGCGUUGAUUCAGAUAACGAGCGAGAUUAUUACCAAUUAAAUAAUUAAUAAUAUUUUAAAUAUUAAUAUAAUUUCUAAUUGGGACUCCCUGCGUCUAAGCAGGAGGAAGAGGAUAGCAAUAACAGGUCCGUGAUGUCCUUUAGAUGCUCUGGGCUGCACGCGCGCUACAAUGUUAAAAACAAUAAGAAUAAUUUAAAGCUAAUUUGAAAAGAUCAUUUUUUAAAUAAAAUGAAAAGCUACUCUUAUAAUUUUUAACGUAGUUGGGAUUGAUGAUUGUAAUCAUUAUCAUGAACCAGGAAUCCCUUGUAAAAGUGUGUCAACAACGCACGUUGAAUACGUCCCUGCCCUUUGUACACACCGCCCGUCGCUCCUACCAAUUGGAUGACUCGGUGAAAUCAUUGGAUUUUUUUUAAUAAAAAAAGAAGGUGAUUAAAUCACGUUAUCUAGAGGAAGGA
rnacentral:rRNA from 1 species